rnacentral:rRNA from 1 species
CAACCUGCCCACCACUUGGGGAUAACCUUGCGAAAGUAAGACUAAUACCCAAUGAUAUCUCUAGAAGACAUCUGAAAGAGAUUAAAGAUUUAUCGGUGAUGGAUGGGGAUGCGUCUGAUUAGCUUGUUGGCGGGGUAACGGCCCACCAAGGCAACGAUCAGUAGGGGUUCUGAGAGGAAGGUCCCCCACAUUGGAACUGAGACACGGUCCAGACUCCUACGGGAGGCAGCAGUGAGGAAUAUUGGUCAAUGGACGAGAGUCUGAACCAGCCAAGUAGCGUGCAGGAAGACUGCCCUAUGGGUUGUAAACUGCUUUUAUAAGGGAAUAAAGUGAGUCUCGUGAGACUUUUUGCAUGUACCCUAUGAAUAAGGACCGGCUAAUUCCGUGCCAGCAGCCGCGGUAAUACGGAAGGUCCGGGCGUUAUCCGGAUUUAUUGGGUUUAAAGGGAGCGUAGGCCGGAGAUUAAGCGUGUUGUGAAAUGUAGAUGCUCAACGUCUGCACUGCAGCGCGAACUGGUUUCCUUGAGUACGCACAAAGUGGGCGGAAUUCGUGGUGUAGCGGUGAAAUGCUUAGAUAUCACGAAGAACUCCGAUUG